AUUGAACGCUGGCGGCAUGCUUUACACAUGCAAGUCGAGCGGAAACAGGCCGCUUGCUGCUGGCUUCUGCCGAGCGGGGGUGUAAUGCGCCUAGACGUCUCCCGGGUUGGGGGGGAUCGCAUCCGGAACUGGGCUCUUAUACCGCGUACGCUGUGGGGGAGAACGGGGGGGAUCUUCGCACUUUAUGCCAUCGCGUCUUCGUAGCGCCCGGUAUCUGAUUAGUGAGGUGAUGGGGUAAAGACCUACCAAGCCGACGAUCUGUAGCUGGUCUGAGAGGACGACCAGCCACACUGGGACUGAGACACGGCCCAGACUCCUACGGGAGGCAGCAGUGGGGAAUUUUGGACAAUGGGCGCAAGCCUGAUCCAGCAAUGCCGCGUGCGGGAAGAAGGCCUUCGGGUUGUAAACCGCUUUUGUACGGAACGAAAAGGCUCUGGCUAAUACCUGGGGCUGAUGACGGUACCGUAAGAAUAAGCACCGGCUAACUACGU
rnacentral:rRNA from 1 species